rnacentral:rRNA from 1 species
GUGGGGAAUCUUCCGCAAUGGACGAAAGUCUGACGGAGCAACGCCGCGUGAGUGAAGAAGGUUUUCGGAUCGUAAAGCUCUUUCGUUAGGGACGAACGUGCUCUUUGUGAAUAAUGAGGAGUAAUGACGGUACCUAAAUAAGAAGCCACGGCUAACUACGUGCCAGCAGCCGCGGUAAUACGUAGGUGGCAAGCGUUGUCCGGAAUUAUUGGGCGUAAAGCGCGCGCAGGCGGGAUAUCAAGUCUGUCUUAAAAGUGCGAGGCUCAACCUCGUGAGGGGACAGAAACUGGUAUUCUUGAGUGUCGGAGAGGAAAGUGGAAUUCCAAGUGUAGCGGUGAAAAGCGUAGAGAUUUGGAAGAACACCAGUGGCGAAGGCGACUUUCUGGACGAUGUCUGACGCUGAGGCGCGAAAGCUAGGGGAGCGAACGGGAUUAGAUACCCGAGUAGUCC